GAGAGAGAGUGUGUGUUUGUGUGUGUGAAAAAGAUUUUCUCUUUGUUCACUUAUAAGGGCUGAUAUGUAUUCAUUUGUUUAUUAUUUUUUUUUAAGGUAUUUCAUUACUUUUUUAAAACUGUCUUUUUCAUCCCAGGUAGAUGUUGUCAGGAAAACUUGAGGUAAGGCCAAGAAGAGAGCCAUUUUAUACUUCAUACUAUCUGUAAAUUCUUUUUCAGCUUGGUUAUAUAGCGAGUAUAUUCUGUUCCUUAAAUUGUAGUUGCUGUUCAUUCUAGACAAAUUCUGUUGGUCCUUCUGUUUUUGCUCUUCAGCAGUGUACACUUAACUGUUAAUAAAAGACGUUCCUUUAUAAGCUAGCCAGUUUCAUGUGAGGAAGCAAGUAUAAACUCUUAACUUCUGCAGCUGUCUCGUUAUUUUUUAUUGAGUCUAAUUAACACAGUUAAAAAUACACUAGUCAGCUUGUGCUUUUCUGUUUAGAAUUAUUUUCCAAGGUAUUCAGUAUUUGCUACAUUGAUCUUGAGAAGUAUCGGAGACUUAAAUUUUGAUGUACGAUUUAAAAGUAAACACUGGCGUUUAGAAUCAGUUUUUUUUGGGGGGGGGUCAAGAAAAUGAUUUCUUUUGUGAUAUUAGUCACCCUCAUUGUUCUCAGCAUCAGGGUCUUUUAGUAUGAUUUGAUUUAAAUCCUACUUUAGUAGUUGAAUUAGCAGUUAAAAUGAAUUCUUUUUGAGCGUUGUAUUGAAUAACAUUUCAAUGAGAUAUUUCUUAUGUUUUUAUUGAAAGAAGUAUCUGGUUUUAAUUGGGUCACUUAUGAAGUAGAGCCAUUUCCACGAAGUAAUUACGUUCCUUCGGUGUUUUAAAGGUUUUAAAAAAUUUUUACUAUGUAUAUACUUAGUAUUUUCUCAUGUUUAUUCAGUAAUAGUCAUUUAAAAUUAAAUUGUUGAUUUUUUAAGUUUCAGAGGUUAGUGCUCUCAGAAGGGCUAAGUGAUAUUUCUGGAAGCAGGAGUCAAGUAUAAAUGUAAUAAAAUAAUCUUUUAAAAAUAAAAUUCACUUCCCUACUUAAUCUUGGGUUUGUGGGUGAAUUUGUUUUUCUUAAAUACACUUUUAUUGGUGAUUCUGCCAAAGAUUGGUACAUAAUUUUUAAAAUAAAAGCUAAAUUUUAUUACUAGGUGGGAUUUAGAAACUAAUAACUAGAUUUCUUUCUAUUUCAUUUUAAGGUACUUUUAUAGUUUCUAGCAAUCAAUUUAUUAAAUUGUUAGUUUAUAUGUAGUGCAACAUUUCUU
ensembl:lncRNA